GUGAUGCUCCUGAGAUGGCUGAAGGAGGAGGAGUUAAUUGUCCUAAAGGAAGUCAAGCAGCACUGGGAAAGCCUAAAGAGGGAAUCGGAGAAUGUGCAAGACUUUGCUUCACAUGUGGCACUUGACCUAAGCAGGCAAACCUGGGGAUGGAAUUACAUCGUUCAGCUUUUUCCCGCCUUCUGAGAGCCCAUGGGAGCCGUAGGAAGUGUCACGUCAUGCCAGAGAUCCCCUGUAUUUGUUAGAUGAUCAAGGAGGGCAAGAAAUGGUCAGACAGGCCACUUCCUGUAAGGAAUCUUCUCAGGUUUUGGCCUGCCAAAUGAGUUCUGUUAUACUCACAGACACCAUUCAAACAGUUUUAGAAACUUUAGGGUGUUUUCUAUCCAAAGCCAAUAAUUAUAUGCAUAUUCUAGUUACUGGGCAGGAGUAGUAACCAGAUUAAAUCGGGUACGUUUUUUAUCCGGCCGUGCAAAUACUGCCCCCUAGCC
rnacentral:lncRNA from 1 species